GAUCGGGUACUAGUUCGAACAACGAUGUCUGAAAUUAUCCCUUAAAAUAGCCAAAUUAGUAUACUUCAAAAGUACAACAUGAAAAAAAGUUUUGACAUGAAAUUCUUUAUUUAUGCUUUGACAGAAAAAAUUAUAGACGUCAAAGUAAAAAAAAUACAAACAUACAACAAUAAGUUUUAUAUGUAUUUUUUUAUAGCAAUUCCCAUUAGAAAACAUAAUUUUUU
rnacentral:lncRNA from 1 species